CAAUAGCGUAUAUUAAAGUUGUUGCAGUUAAAAAGCUCGUAGUUGGAUUUCUGGUCGGAAGCUCCUGUCCUCUGAUGAGCGUACAAGUGCGUCCUACCAUCCUUCUGUUAACCUUUAAGGCUUUCGCGGCUUUCUAGGGGCUCAGAUAUUUUACCUUGAGAAAAUUAGAGUGUUUCAGGCAGGCUAGCGCCGGAAUACAUUAGCAUGGAAUAAUGGAAUAGGACUUUUGCCUCUUCUGUUGGUCAUGAGGCUCGAGUAAUGAUUAAUAGGGAUAGUUGGGGGCAUUAGUACUUAACUGUCAGAGGCGAAAUUCUCGGAUUUGUUAAAGACUAACUUAUGCGAAAGCAUUUGCCAAGGAUGUUUUCAUUAA
rnacentral:rRNA from 1 species